rnacentral:rRNA from 1 species
GACGAACGCUGGCGGCGUGCUUAACACAUGCAAGUCGAACGAUGAAGCCGGAGCUUGCUCUGGUGAAUUAGUGGCGAACGGGUGAGUAACACGUGAGUAACCUGCCCUUGACUCUGGGAUAACUGCUAGAAAUGGUAGCUAAUACCGGAUACGACCCUCGGAGGCAUCUCCAGGGGGUGGAAAGAAUUUCGGUCAAGGAUGGACUCGCGGCCUAUCAGCUAGUUGGUGAGGUAACGGCUCACCAAGGCGACGACGGGUAGCCGGCCGGAGAGGGUGACCGGCCACACUGGGACUGAGACACGGUCCAGACUCCUACGGGAGGCAGCAGUGGGGAAUAUUGCACAAUGGGCGCAAGCCUGAUGCAGCAACGCCGCGUGAGGGAUGACGGCCUUCGGGUUGUAAACCUCUUUUAGUAGGGAAGAAGCGAAAGUGACGGUACCUGCAGAAAAAGCACCGGCUAACUACGUGCCAGCAGCCGCCGUAA